rnacentral:lncRNA from 12 species
GAAAAUUUAGGUGGAAACAAGGUUCUUGAAUUAAAAUGUCAGUUCUUAUUUCCAGGAGAAAUAAUUGCUACAAUGGAUAGAGAAUUCUGUGGAAAACCUUUGUGGUAAGAAUUAUAUAUAAAACAUCUUUCUGCUAUCUUUGUUUGUUUUUUGGUGUGACUUAUGAGAAUUCAAUGACAGUCUGAGUAGUGUUGUUUUGAAUUGUUGCUAACCUUGUCCAUCUGGAAAUGUAUAUGAUAUGUAUGAAACAGUUUCAGACAUUUGGUAAGACAUGAUCACUUCUGAUUUUUUCUUACUCUUUCUGAUACUUGGCAAACCUGUUC